UACGUAGGGCGCAAGCGUUAUCCGGAAUUAUUGGGCGUAAAGAGCUCGUAGGCGGUUUGUCGCGUCUGUUGUGAAAGACUGGGGCUCAACUCCGGUUCUGCAGUCGAUACGGGCAGGCUAGAGUUCGGUAGGGGAGACUGGAAUUCCUGGUGUAGCGGUGAAAUGCGCAGAUAUCAGGAGGAACACCGGUGGCGAAGGCGGGUCUCUGGGCCGAUACUGACGCUGAGGAGCGAAAGCGUGGGGAGCGAACAGG
rnacentral:rRNA from 1 species